CCUCGCGGGGCGCGUAGCCCCUCUCCUUUUGCUUACGCGGGCCGCCUGAAAGGUAUAGUCGGGUUAAAACAUAUCAGAUAUCCAAAUUGGUCAUUUUAAACCCUAAUUCCCUCAUUCUUUACCACCGGCGACUACAAACCUCACCAAUUCCACCACCGAUUCACCUCAAUUCCACCAAUAACCACCAUCACUCACCACCCAAUUCCAUUAUCAACCACCAUACACCAUCGAUUACCCUCCAUUUACCCCAUACCUCCGAUUUCCCCACGAUUGACCACUAAACCUCUAUUAAUCAACCAAAAUUACUUAUCUUCCACUGAUUUCACGACUGACCGAAGUGGUUUCGUGUACAUCACCAUCAUUCUCUUAGUUCUCUAUUUGAAUCGGUCAUCAGGAUGUCAGGUGAGGCGUCGUCUUUUUGGACGAGCCGAAAGCGGCGUGCGUCUACUCGUUCACAAGACACUGCUGAGGAGCAACAGCCAGCUGACGUGCCACUUAAAGAGAUUAGAUAUCGUGGACUUGGAAUCCCACAUGGCCAGAGAACGGUUCUACAUGACAGCCCGCUAGUAUAGUUUGCUGAGGGGACAACUGAGUGUUCGAGAUUCCAUGUUCUAAGGGCAGUGAAGUUACUAGAGUAUCGUAGGAUUGAUUGGGAGUUGGUAGGACGGUUGGGUCUGGUAGAGAGAUUACAGCAGCUGUUGGGAGCUAAGUUUAGGUUGGUUUUGGAUUGUGACGCCCCGCAGUACUAUGAGUUAGCGUUAGAGUUUCAUUCUACGUUCCAGUACAGACAUGUAGGGGGUUUGCUGAGGCUGAUGUGGUGUCGUUUGCCCUAGGAAAGAAGGUGUUUAAUUUGACUUUACCUCAGUUCGCGAUGGCGACUAAGUUUUAUACACAACAGGAGGUUCAGGAGCCUGGGUUUGUGAGUUUGUUGAGGGGAGUUGUGAAGAAGCAGCAGGAUUUUUUUGUGUUGAAGGAGGAUCUAGCUAGGUUUUGGGGUACGAUUGCCACGUCACCAUUCUCAAACAACAUGGUGGCCUCAGAUAUUAGGGAUCCUCUUCAUAGGUUUAUGCAUAAGAUUUUAGCAGCCACGUUGAUUGGUAGAUAUGAGGGGGAUAACAAGGUAAAUCAUCAUAGUCUGUUUUGUUUGAUGUGCAUGGUGGAGGGCCAACCGACCAAUUUAGCUAGUAUAUUUGCGUGGUCGAUGACGAGACCUUCGAGAGGAGGGAGUAAGUCUCGGUUGUUUGGUGGACCUUACAUCACUUGGUUAGCGGAGAGUUUAGGGGUUUUUGUUGAUUAUCUAGCUGAUAGGAUGCAUAUUGGUCCAGCUCCUUCAUUGAUGGAGCUGAAGAGUUUCAACAGGCAGGGAUUGUCACAUAUGAUACGCCACCAACCUAGGCAGCGAUAGCAGAGGGGCCUCAGGUGCAGCCUCCACCAGGAUCUGCAGCAGCUGCUUCUAUGCAGGCUGCGAUUCCCCCGAGAUAUCAGGUGCCCCGUGUUAGGCGUGAGCUACCUGCACGUCUGUAUCCGAUUAGGGAGCCGCGGCCAGAUCCUUUGACUUUAGAGGCAGUUUAUGAUAGAGUGGAGGGUUUGUACGAUUAUGUUGAUCAGGUGAGGCAUCAGAUGGAGACAGGUCAGAGGCUUGUAGAGGAUGGUAUGAGGGUUUUGAUGGAUCACUUUUAGUUGCAGCCACCACCAUCUUGGGAGGCAGGUAUUGAGGAGCAGUGGAAUGAAGAAGAGUUUGAUGAGGAUUAGAUCGAGGAUGCAGCAGCACUGAUGGACUAUAUCUUUUGUUUUAUUUUUCUUUUAUGCUAUUUUCAUUCUCAUAUUUUGGUCCGUACUGAUAUACUUUAAACAGGUUGGUAGGGUUUGGGGUUGGUUGAUAUACACUGCUGGAUGGUUGUUUUGGAACCAACGUUAGUAUGAUAUAUAUUAUGUUUCGUUUUGGUAUGUUAUAACUGAUUGUUAGGUUGAGUUUGUUGCCGCUUCCGUUCGCGUGUCUGAGUUUAGGAACAGUUUGCUGAGCGCGUUUGGAUUGGAGGGCAUAUGUGGUAUAGACUGGCACACUGACAGUCUCACAUAUAUAUUCAGCUAAGUCGUUCCACUUGUAUACUUUGUAUAGUUUUAUUUUCUGUAUUUCUUUUUGUUUUUAGGUGUUAGGAGUCGUGUUUUCAUCCUUGCAUUAGGGACAAUGCAAAUUUUAAGUGUGGGGAUGGGACACAAGGGUCUUAGUCGUUAGUUUGUUUAAUUUGAGUCAUAAAAAGUCGAAAAAUACAAAAAAAAAAAAAUAAAAAAAAUUCAAAAAUCCAAAAAAAAAAAUUAGAAAAUGUCUUUUGAAAUAAGAAGUUUGUAAACUAAAAAGCGGGAAAUGAUAGAAAAGUCAGGUUUUUGUUCGAGUUCAAAUAAUAAUAAUAUGAGAUUAAUAUAAUUGAGCUUAUGUCUAGUUUGGGAUGUGCGGGUAGGCUCGAUUCGGUUCUAGGUUUCUUUGAUCUUAAAUAUACCUCAUUGUCGGUCUACUAGUGGGUUCUCAUCUAGGGAAAGUGUGGAAAUUGAAACCGCCAAUAAUAGUAUAAGGGAUGCCGUUAUAAGCUAAGAUCGUUAGAGUUUCUUAUCAUAUCUCAUUGAAAAAAAAAAAGAGAAUAAAUGAGCUAGAAACUAAGAAAAGUAGCGCAUGCCUAUGUAAUCUUGGUUGGGGAUAGCGACUCUACAACCCGAAUACCUCUAGGAUGUGUGAAAUCGAAAUUGCAAGAAAAACAAAUUACCGACACCUAUUGUAAUCUUGGUUGGGGAUAGCGACUCUACAGCCGGAAUGCCUCUGGGUUAGGUAAACCAAUGUCUACGCUCAAAAGAAAGAAAAUAAAAAAAAAAGAAAAAAUGAAGAAAUAAUAAAAAAAGAUUUGAUUUUAAACUCUCUUGAUCUUGGUAUAAAACGGUUAGGAAAUAACCCAGUGGUUGUUCCUUUUGUCCUAUAAGCUUGAGGGGGGAUUAGGUGGACUUGCGAUUCCUUAGCGUGAGACCCUAGGUAGAUUGACCGCACUUGAACUAAACUUGCAUGAUAAGGGCUUGGAACCGGGUUUGGGUUUAAGAGGACAAGUAUACUUGCAAUCGCGGCUAACACAAGUUUCGGUUUUAAUAA